rnacentral:rRNA from 1 species
ACCCCUGUUAGGGGAGUGAAAUAGAAUCUGAAACUGUCUGCCAACAAUCGGUAGGAGGGCUAUAUCUGGGUUUACUCAGAGAUGCCUGACUGCGUACCUUUUGCAUAAUGGGCCAGGGACUUAUUUUUAAUAGCAAGAUUAAGCCGUUAGGUGUAGUCGUAGCGAAAGCGAGUCUGAAUAGGGCGUUAGUUAUUGGAAAUAGACCCGAAGCGGGACGAUCUAGCCAUGGGCAGGCUGAAGCCUCCGGAAACGGAUGUGGAGGGCCGAACCGUUGAAGGGUGAAAACUUCUCGGAUGACCUGUGGUUAGGAGUGAAAGGCUAAUCAAGUUCCGUGAUAGCUGGUUCUCCUCGAAAUAUAUUUAGGUAUAGCCUCAUGUGUUCUUCUCUGGGGGUAGAGCACUGAUUGGACUAGGGGGUCGAAAGACUUACCAAACCCUAUCAAACUCCGAAUACCAGAGAUAGUAGCAUGGGAGUCAGACUAUGGGUGCUAAGAUCCGUAGUCGAAAGGGAAACAACCCAGAUCGCAAUCUAAGGUCCCUAAAUCUAGACUAAGUGGUUAAGGAUGUAAAUUUUCAUAGACAGCCAGGAGGUAGGCUUAGAAGCAGCCACCCUUUAAAGACAGCGUAACAGCUCACUGGUCGAUGAAAAUUUGCGCCGAAAAUGAAUCGGGGCUAAGUCUAGUACCGAAGAUGCGGAUUGUAUAUUUAUAUACAGUGGUAGAGGAGCGUUCUUAGUGGAAUGAAGCAUUACCGUAAGGAGAUGUGGACUGCUAAGAAGUGAGAAUCCUGGCAUGAGUAGCGACAAAAGUGGUGAGAAUCCACUUCACCGUAAGCGUAAGGGUUCCUGGGCAAGGCUCGUCCUCCCAGGGUUAGUCGGGACCUAAGGCGAGGCCGAAAGGCGUAGUCGAUGGAAAACAGGUUAAUAUUCCUGUACCACCUAUUGUGAGUGAUGGGGUGACGGAGAAGGAUAGAUCAGCCAAGUGUCGGAUUACUUGGUUCAAGCAUGUAGAAGUAAGGAAUAGGCAAAUCCGUUCCUUUCUAACUUCGAGACGUGAGUUACGAGAGACCUAGUCUCAUAAAGUGAUUGAUUCCAUGCUUCCUAGAAAAACCUCUAAAUGUUGAACAAUAGGUGCUCGUACUGUAAACGGACACACGUACGCGGGUAGAGUAUACCAAGGUGUUUGAGAUAAUUAUGGCUAAGGAACUCGGCAAAAUAGCUCCGUAACUUCGGAAGAAGGAGUGCCUAUAUUAGGUGAAAGCUCUUGCAGCUGGAGCCGAAAUAGGUGGCACUGAAAUGGUGGAAGCGACUGUUUACCAAAAACACAGGCCUGUGCUAACCCGCAAGGGGAUGUAUACGGGCUGACGCCUGCCCGGUGCUGGACGGUUAAGGGGAUGGGUUAUCCUUCGGGAGAAGCUUAGAACCGAAGCCCCAGUAAACGGCGGCCGUAACUAUAACGGUCCUAAGGUAGCGAAAUUCCUUGUCGUCUAAUUAGCGACCCGCAUGAAUGGCGUAACGACUUCUAUGCUGUCUCGGCCAUAAUCUCAGCGAAAUUGUAGUGCUGGUGAAGAUGCCAGCUUCCCGUUGUGGGACGGAAAGACCCCGUGCACCUUUACUAUAACCUAGCACUGGAUUUUGAUGAUAAAUGCGUAGGAUAGGUGGGAGACUUUGAAGAUUCGAUUUCGGUUGGAUCUGAGUCGUUGGUGAAAUACCACCCUUUUACUGUUAGAAUCCUAACUGUAAUCCGUUAUCCGGAUUAAGGACAAUGUUAGGCGGGUAGUUUGACUGGGGCGGUUGACUCCUAAA